rnacentral:rRNA from 1 species
AUUGAACGCUGGCGGCAGGCCUAACACAUGCAAGUCGAGCGGAUGAGAGGAGCUUGCUUCUUGAUUCAGCGGCGGACGGGUGAAUAAUGCCUAGGAAUCUGCCUGGUAGUGGGGGACAACGUUUCGAAAGGAACGCUAAUACCGCAUACGUCCUACGGGAGAAAGCAGGGGACCUUCGGGCCUUGCGCUAUCAGAUGAGCCUAGGUCGGAUUAGCUAGUUGGUGAGGUAAUGGCUCACCAAGGCGACGAUCCGUAACUGGUCUGAGAGGAUGAUCAGUCACAAUGGAACUGAGACACGGUCCAGACUCCUACGGGAGGCAGCAGUGGGGAAUAUUGGACAAUGGGCGAAAGCCUGAUCCAGCCAUGCCGCGUGUGUGAAGAAGGUCUUCGGAUUGUAAAGCACUUUAAGUUGGGAGGAAGGGUUGUACGUUAAUACCGUGCAAUUUUGACGUUACCGACAGAAUAAGCACCGGCUAACUCUGUGCCAGCCGCCGCCGUAA